rnacentral:rRNA from 1 species
AGUUUGAUCAUGGCUCAGAUUGAACGCUGGCGGCAGGCCUAACACAUGCAAGUCGAGCGGUAGCACAGAGAGCUUGCUCUCGGGUGACGAGCGGCGGACGGGUGAGUAAUGUCUGGGAAACUGCCUGAUGGAGGGGGAUAACUACUGGAAACGGUAGCUAAUACCGCAUAACGUCGCAAGACCAAAGUGGGGGACCUUCGGGCCUCAUGCCAUCAGAUGUGCCCAGAUGGGAUUAGCUAGUAGGUGGGGUAACGGCUCACCUAGGCGACGAUCCCUAGCUGGUCUGAGAGGAUGACCAGCCACACUGGAACUGAGACACGGUCCAGACUCCUACGGGAGGCAGCAGUGGGGAAUAUUGCACAAUGGGCGCAAGCCUGAUGCAGCCAUGCCGCGUGUGUGAAGAAGGCCUUCGGGUUGUAAAGCACUUUCAGCGGGGAGGAAGGCGUUAAGGUUAAUAACCUUGGCGAUUGACGUUACCCGCAGAAGAAGCACCGGCUAACUCCGUGCCAGCAGCCGCGGUAAUACGGAGGGUGCAAGCGUUAAUCGGAAUUACUGGGCGUAAAGCGCACGCAGGCGGUCUGUCAAGUCGGAUGUGAAAUCCCCGGGCUCAACCUGGGAACUGCAUUCGAAACUGGCAGGCUAGAGUCUUGUAGAGGGGGGUAGAAUUCCAGGUGUAGCGGUGAAAUGCGUAGAGAUCUGGAGGAAUACCGGUGGCGAAGGCGGCCCCCUGGACAAAGACUGACGCUCAGGUGCGAAAGCGUGGGGAGCAAACAGGAUUAGAUACCCUGGUAGUCCACGCCGUAAACGAUGUCGAUUUGGAGGUUGUGCCCUUGAGGCGUGGCUUCCGGAGCUAACGCGUUAAAUCGACCGCCUGGGGAGUACGGCCGCAAGGUUAAAACUCAAAUGAAUUGACGGGGGCCCGCACAAGCGGUGGAGCAUGUGGUUUAAUUCGAUGCAACGCGAAGAACCUUACCUGGUCUUGACAUCCACAGAACUUGGCCGGGAACUCAAAGGAGACUGCCAGUGAUAAACUGGAGGAAGGUGGGGAUGACGUCAAGUCAUCAUGGCCCUUACGACCAGGGCUACACACGUGCUACAAUGGCAUAUACAAAGAGAAGCGACCUCGCGAGAGCAAGCGGACCUCAUAAAGUAUGUCGUAGUCCGGAUUGGAGUCUGCAACUCGACUCCAUGAAGUCGGAAUCGCUAGUAAUCGUAGAUCAGAAUGCUACGGUGAAUACGUUCCCGGGCCUUGUACACACCGCCCGUCACACCAUGGGAGUGGGUUGCAAAAGAAGUAGGUAGCUUAACCUUCGGGAGGGCGCUUACCACUUUGUGAUUCAUGACUGGGGUGAAGUCGUAACAAGGUAACCGUAGGGGAACCUGCGGUUGGAUCACCUCCUUACCUUAAAGAA